UACAGAGGGUGCGAGCGUUGUCCGGAAUCACUGGGCGUAAAGGGCGCGUAGGCGGCCUGGCAAGUCUGUGGUGAAAGCUCGUGGCUCAACUGCGAGUCGGCCAUAGAUACUGCGAGGCUCGAGUCGAGUAGAGGCAGAUGGAAUUCCGGGUGUAGCGGUGAAAUGCGCAGAUAUCAGGAGGAACACCGGUGGCGAAGGCGGUUCUCUGGGCAUGUCCUGACGCUGAGGAGCGAAAGUGUGGGGAGCGAACAGG
rnacentral:rRNA from 1 species